rnacentral:rRNA from 1 species
UACGAAGGGAGCUAGCGUUGUUCGGAAUCACUGGGCGUAAAGCGCACGUAGGCGGAUGUGUCAGUCAGGGGUGAAAUCCCGGAGCUCAACUUCGGAACUGCCUUUGAUACAGCACGUCUUGAGUCCGGAAGAGGUGGGUGGAAUUCCUAGUGUAGAGGUGAAAUUCGUAGAUAUUAGGAAGAACACCGGUGGCGAAGGCGGCCCACUGGUCCGGUACUGACGCUGAGGCGCGAAAGCUAGGGGAGCAAACGGG